rnacentral:lncRNA from 1 species
UCAAGAUUCCAUUCUUGCUUGUUAUAUGAUAUUAUAUGAAGGAACAUUCCUGCAUAAGCCUAAAAAUAGCAUUUAGCCAAAAUGACUGAAUAUAUAAAACACAAGAUACCUAUGACGGAUCGUUUAGAAUUGUUUUUAGCAUAAUUGGCAUGACAGUUUUGCUGCCUAGUUAGUCAUAUUGCAUGUUCACAACUUCACACACAAGCGAACUACCAGUCGAAAGGACAAGUCGGGGUAGUUGGGCCCAAAUAUAUUUUACUAUAUAGUAUUUUGUUGCUGUGGGUACAAUUUGCCACAAACAAAUCUCUCGCAGAUCAUUUCGGGUAUACAGUUCAAUUUUCUUGACAACUUGUAUUUUUCUCUGAAUAAAAUUAAAUUAUUUGGCAACAUACAUUCAAUUUCUCACCAACCAAAUUUCAAUUUCUCACCAACAUAUAUUCAAUUCUUCUUACAAUUAAUUAGCCACUGAUUAUUAGGGUUGGUAAAAUUGGACACGGCCCGAAACCCGACAUGAAACAAUACGAAUUGGGCUCGGGGGACUUGAGUCUCAGGUCAUGUUCAGAUUGGGUAAAAAUCUACCUGAAAAAAUUGAGUCAGUUUCGGGUGAACCUUAAAUUGACCCAAAAUACAUUAGUAUUGAUACUAUAUUUAUGCAGUCUGUACAAAAUGACUGAUUCCUUGGUUUUAGGUCAUGGCCCAACAAUAGGCCCAAUAAAAGAUGAGAGACCUUAUCUUUCAUUAUACUAAAGUCACAACCCUACUUACAAACAUUCAAUACUUAUUAUUUUUAUGUUCUGAUUAUAACCUUCAUAAAUAUGUAUUUUUUUUUAAUUCUUACAAAUCUACCAAGUCAAAAUAUGUGUUCUGUUGAAAAUAUGUGUAUUUAUGCAUGUAUUUGUAUCAUUAUAAUUUAAAAAUUGCAUUUGUGCGUGUAUAUAUAAAUGUCAAUAAGUGUGUAUUGUAUCAUCUUCAUUUGUAAGAUUUUUCUUUUACUCUUGCAGUUGUCAUAUUGAUGCGGGUCGGGUCUGGCCCAACCCAUUUAUAUUUCGUGUCGUGUUGGGUUCGUGUAUUUUAAAACUGAUACCAGGUCGUGCUCAGGUAGAGAAAUCUCAACCUGUUUCAGGUCGGGGUUGGGCUGAUCAAGAAAAAGGACCGGGUACAAUCGACCCAAAAUUGCAACCCCUACUGAUUAUGCUGGAGAAUUUUCUUUAAUGUGACAUUCAAAGGUUAGAUUGAUUGUACCCAAAAUUGCAACCCCUACUGAUUAUGCUGGAGAAUUUUCUUUAAUGUGACAUUCAAAGGUUAGAUUGCCGUUAUUAUACUAAUGAAAAACACAGACAACAAAGUAUAGAUGUUCACAGAUUGUUAAUGUACUGUAGUGAUUGUCUACUCUUGCAACAUCAACCCUGCUUAUCUUAGAUCAACCCUCAAGCAAUAACACA